GAUGAAGAACGUAGCGAAAUGCGAUAAGUAAUGUGAAUUGCAGAAUUCAGUGAAUCAUCGAAUCUUUGAACGCACAUUGCGCCCACCAGUAUUCUGGCGGGCAUGCCUGUUCGAGCGUCAUUUCAACCCUCAGGCCCCCAGUGCCUGGUGUUGGGGAUCGGCCCAGCCUUCCUGUAAGGCCGCCGGCCCCGAAAUCUAGUGGCGGUCUCGCUGUAGUCCUCCUCUGCGUAGUAGCACAACCUCGCAGUUGGAACGCGGCGGUGGCCAUGCCGUUAAACACCCCACUUCUGAAAGUUGACCUCGGAUCAGGUAGGAAUACCCGCUGAACUUAAGCAUAUCAAUAAGCGGAGGA
rnacentral:misc_RNA from 1 species